rnacentral:lncRNA from 1 species
ACCUAGUGGGAGCAUAUCAAGUGUUUUGCCAGCCGAUUUUCACCUUCGUCGAAAAAUGGGCAUCACAAAGAUGGCCCGAAAGCAAGACCAUCACCAAAGAGUUGAAGAUCCCAAUGCCAAUCCGGGGUUAUCGUCCUUACAAACUUAACCUUUUUAGAUCGGUUUGGAGAACAGCGUUUGUGAUGUUAACCACUGUGAUAUCUAUGUUGCUUCCAUUCUUCGGCGAUGUUGUGGGGAUUCUAGGGGCAUUUGGAUUUUGGCCUUUAACAGUUUAUUUUCCAGUGGAGAUGUACAUUGAACAGAAGAAGAUAUCUAAGUGGAGUAGCAGAUGGAUUUGUUU